rnacentral:tRNA from 1 species
GCGUUUUUAGUUUAAGGGAUAAAACGUCAAUCUUCUAAAUUGAAUAGUGAAGGUUCAAGUCCUUCAAAACGUG